UUGGCGAUUGGAGGAAAGAACCCGUAUCACUACGAUCCUUCCUCUUCUUCUAACGCAGUUAUAUUGCUAUCUGCGAAUGGAAUAAGAGGAAGACUUGCGAUACCGAAAUUCGAGGUUUUUUCAACCUCCGCGGGAUUUACGAAAAAAGUUUUUUAUGUUUGGUUACUUUCUUGGAAACGAAAUUUAAUUAUUUAGAUUCUGAAAAGCAAAUAUUUAUUAAAUUUUGAAAUUGAAUUAUGUUAUUAAAAUAUAUCAGACAGCAUUUGUGUUUUUUCGAUAAUGGAUAUUGUGAUUGUGCCCUUAUUAGUGGAUUACUUUUUCUUAUGGAUAUACAAAAUAAUACAAAACAGGGGGAGAAAGAAUAAUUCCAAACACAAUACCAGACAAAUUGCUUAAAGAAGAAUAGAUUUAUAUCCCAGAAGAUGAGACGGUUAAUUUCUUCUUGAAGGAAGGAGGGAAAAAUGUGAAGGAAAAAAAAGUAUCUGCUUACUGUUAAAUUGGGUUUUUUACAAUGAAUCUAUUCAGUUUUAGUUUGAUUUCCUAGAAACUUAGCUCGUGACAGAAACCAAAGAUGAAAUUUGAUGUUCGCAGGUUUGAUAUGAAUUCUCCAUUCUAUAUAUUAUAUAAUAAUUAAUAUAAAACAACUAAAAUUUCUUACACGAUAUUUAUUUGAGUAAUUAGUUUAAUUCAGUUGCUUAUUUUUAAUAAUAUAUAUUAACAACAGAAAAAUCUUUUCAAAAUAAUUCACUGCGAUUUCACUCAAUUCCCUUUUAAUUUAUAGCUAAUCAAAUAAUUGUGUAACUACUAAUGAAUAUAAAAUUGUAUAUGCAUUUAAAAUUUAAAUAAAAUGUUAUGAGAAA